CAUUGACCUCGGAUCAGGUAGGAUACCCGCUGAACUUAAGCAUAUCAAUAAGCGGAGGAAAAGAAACCAACAGGGAUUGCCUCAGUAACGGCGAGUGAAGCGGCAAAAGCUCAAAUUUGAAAUCUGGCCCCGUCGGGGUCCGAGUUGUAAUUUGUAGAGAGUGUUUCGGGGGAGAUCGCGGUCUAAGUCCAUUGGAACAUGGCGUCACAGAGGGUGAGAAUCCCGUAUGUGACCGCGGAUCGAGCCCGUGUGAAACCUCUUCGACGAGUCGAGUUGUUUGGGAAUGCAGCUCAAAAUGGGUGGUAAAUUUCAUCUAAAGCUAAAUACUGGCUCAAGACCGAUAGCGCACAAGUAGAGUGAUCGAAAGAUGAAAAGCACUUUGGAAAGAGAGUCAAACAGUACGUGAAAUUGUUGAAAGGGAAGCGCUGGCAACCAGACCUGCCCGUAGGUGAUCAACCGCUGUUCUCAGCGGUGCACUCGCUCUGCGAUCAGGCCAGCAUCGGUUCGGGCGGCCGGAUAAAGGCUCGGGAAAUGUAGCUCCUCUCGGGGAGUGUUAUAGACUCCGGUGCAAUGCGGCCAGCCUGGACCGAGGACCGCGCUUCGGCUAGGAUGCUGGCGUAAUGGUUGUCAGCGACCCGUCUUGAAACACGGACCAAGGAGUCUAACAUCUAUGCGAGUGUUUGGGUGUUAAACCCAUGCGCGGAAUGAAAGUGAACGGAGGUGAGAACCCUUAAGGGCGCAUCAUCGACCGAUCCAGAUGUCCUCGGAUGGAUUUGAGUAUGAGCAUAGCUGUUGGGACCCGAAAGAUGGUGAACUAUGCCUGAAUAGGGUGAAGCCAGAGGAAACUCUGGUGGAGGCUCGCAGCGGUUCUGACGUGCAAAUCGAUCGUCAAAUUUGGGUAUAGGGGCGAAAGACUAAUCGAACCAUCUAGCUAGCUGGUUCCUGCCGAAGUUUCCCUCAGGA
rnacentral:rRNA from 1 species